rnacentral:rRNA from 1 species
UACGAAGGGGCUAGCGUUGUUCGGAAUUACUGGCGUAAAGCGCACGUAGGCGGAUUGUUAAGUUAGGGGUGAAAUCCCAGGGCUCAACCCUGGAACUGCCUUUAAUACUGGCAAUCUCGAGUCCGAGAGAGGUGAGUGGAAUUCCGAGUGUAGAGGUGAAAUUCGUAGAUAUUCGGAGGAACACCAGUGGCGAAGGCGGCUCACUGGCUCGGUACUGACGCUGAGGUGCGAAAGCGUGGGGAGCAAACA